GACGUAGGGCGCGAGCGUUGUCCGGAUUUAUUGGGCGUAAAGAGCUCGUAGGCGGCUCGUUGCGUCGGCUGUGAAAACCCGCAGCUCAACUGUGGGCUUGCAGCUGAUACGGGCGGGCUGGGAUUCGGUAGGGGUAGAGGGAAUUCCCAGUGUAGCGGUGAAAUGCGUAGAGAUUGGGAAGAACACCGGUGGCGAAAGCGCUCUACUGGGCCUGCACUGACACUGAGGGACGAAAGCUAGGGGAGCGAAAGGG
rnacentral:rRNA from 1 species